AUGAACGCUGGCGGCGUGCCUAAUACAUGCAAGUCGAGCGAACGGACGAGAAGCUUGCUUCUCUGAUGUUAGCGGCGGACGGGUGAGUAACACGUGGAUAACCUACCUAUAAGACUGGGAUAACUUCGGGAAACCGGAGCUAAUACCGGAUAAUAUUUUGAACCGCAUGGUUCAAAAGUGAAAGACGGUCUUGCUGUCACUUAUAGAUGGAUCCGCGCUGCAUUAGCUAGUUGGUAAGGUAACGGCAUACCAAGGCAACGAUGCAUAGCCGACCUGAGAGGGUGAUCGGCCACACUGGAACUGAGACACGGUCCAGACUCCUACGGGAGGCAGCAGUAGGGAAUCUUCCGCAAUGGGCGAAAGCCUGACGGAGCAACGCCGCGUGAGUGAUGAAGGUCUUCGGAUCGUAAAACUCUGUUAUUAGGGAAGAACAUAUGUGUAAGUAACUGUGCACAUCUUGACGGUACCUAAUCAGAAAGCCACGGCUAACUACGUG
rnacentral:rRNA from 1 species